UUAAAAUUUGGCAGAGCACAAACCAGGACCUGGCAAGACCUGGCAGGACCAGCAAGGCUGGGCUUCCCCGGGCUCAAUGGCUAACCAGAAAGCUAAACUGGUGAGUUACAGGUUCAGUGAGAAACUCUGCCUAAGAAAGUAAGGUCCAGGACUCAGCAUUUAAGAGCGUUGAUCCUGCUUCAGUUCUCAGCACCAAAUGUCAGCCCACAACCUCCUGUAACUCCAGCUCCAGGGGACGCUGGUGUCCUCUUCUGGACUCUUUAGGCAUUGCACUUGUGUGCACAUACGGCUGUCCCUUUCUUCACAUAAUUAAAAAUAUAUACUAUAUGCAUAUAGGAAAGGAUGACUGAGGAAGACACCGGUGUUCUUUAUAGUAUCCACAUAGGUAUAGGUUCCUGUACACACACACACACACACACACACACACACACACACACACACACACACAGCCUGUCAGUCCCUGUUCCUAUUUUCAUGCUCCUGUCCAGCACAAAGCUUCCAUAGCUGUUUUUUUUUGGGGGGGGGCGUGGAUUGGAUAUUUACUUUAUUUACAUUUCAAAUGUUUUCCCCUUUCCAGGUCUCCCCUUCGGAAACCCCCUAUUCUACCCUCCCCACCUCUAUUAGGGUGCUCCCCCACCCACCCACUCCUGCCCUCCCGCCCUGGCAUUCCCCAUAGCUGUUUUCUAAGGAGCCUCAUCUUCCUGGCUGCCGAAACAGCAUCACCCUGCACAAUACCUCUUCAGUCACAAUGCAGCACACAAUUAAACGGCAUUGAUGCCACACAGCAGCAAUACGUGCCACUUAAAACAAGCCACUCUGAGCAAAUGACUACUUUGAAUGCAGCGGACAGAAGAGUAUUCCUGAGCACCCCAUUCACCCAGAAGCAGCAUGUAAGUAAAUCUGUGCAAGUUUCCCCUUCCCUCUACCGGGAAGGGUAGGUGUCUGUUACUAGAAACAGCACUAGCCCUGUGUCUGCUCACAAGCUACUCCAUUAGGACUACCCAGAUUAGAAGGAAUGGACAGGGCCUGCUCCAGUUUGGGCUCAGGGACAGAGGGGGUAAGGAAGAAGGCAUUCUGAGUGGGAUGCAGACAACAGGUAGCUGUGAGAAAUCUAAAAGGGGUUAUGGAGUGAGCAGAGAAUAAAAGGUCGGCCCAAAGAUGAGAACCUGAGCGAAGACAAGUGGCUUAAAGCUAAAAGGCUGGCAAUAGUCAGCCAUGCCCUGAGCAGACCAGACAUGCCCUCAACAGGCCAAACAUGCCCUGCAGACCAGCCAUGCCCUGAGCAGACCUUGCCCUCCUCGGCAGUCUGCACGGCCUUGGCUGCUCCUGCUGCAGCCAUCAUACCUGCUCUGACAGCUGGCUCCCUCUCCAUGAGUUCUGCAUUCACAGAUUCAGCCAAGCAUGGUGUGAAAGGCAUAGCUAUCUGUGCUGCAAACACACAGGUUUUUGCCACCCUGGGAAGUCAUGUGUGUGUGGUUUGAUACUUGUGUGCACAUGUGUGGAUGCAUAAGGGUGGAGGCCAGGGGUAGAUGUGAGGUGCCUCCCUCCAUGAUUCCCACCUUACUUUCUGAGACAAGGUGUCUCAGGGAAUCUGGAGCUCGUCUGUUUGCGAAGUUUGGCUGGCCACUGAGCUUCAGGACCCUUCCUGUCCUACCCGUGUGGUUCCACACCAGCACUGUGCCGCAGACUUGUGCCUGGCCCUGACAUUGGUGCCGCAAUCUGAACUCAGACUCUCAUGCUUUCACGUCAGGUACCAUACCAACCCAACCGCCUUCCUAAACCAUGUCAUUGUGUCUCACACCUGCAUGAUUCACAUUCACACCAUGUGAGGUGUUCUAAGCUGCCCAGAACUGGCUUGCAGGGCUCAGGACAGGAAAAGCUUGGGUGCAGCCUCCAGUUUUAUCCCCCCAGGUCUCACAACUAACUCCUUGUAAAAAGAGGGACAACUGUCCUCUCACAUCUGUCCCUUGCUUGGGAUCUUCUCAGAGUGCUUGGUGUAGCCAUGGUCCUGUGCAUCUGUACUUGGGGAGUUCAGAAGCACCCAAGUCCUAGAUUCCUCUUCAUCUGCAUCCCUGUUUUCAUUUGCCCCUUGGUUGCCAGGAGAGUACAUGUGGCCCCUGACACUACACAAACUCACCUCUCCACCCAAUUAGCUCUGACCACUGCCAGCUCUUAGACUGGAAGUCUUGGGUCAUUUUUGAGGUUUUUCUUUUUCUCUGGUGUUAAGAAUGCCACAGGACUGUUAUAAUGCUACAAAAAUUUUACAUCUCCUUUAGUCUUUUAAAAUUAUUUCAUAAUAGAAACAGUCAUUAAGUCUUCCAACCAAAAAAAAAAAAGCCCAGGACCAGAUGGGUUUAGUGCAGAGUUCUAUCUGAUCUUCAAAGAAGACCUAAUACCAAUACUCUUCAUACUAUUCCACAAAAUAGAAACAGAAAGAACACUACCCAGGUCAUUCUAUGAAGCCACAGUUACACUGCGUAUUCCCCCUUAGAGAUGGAAUGGAUUCUGUCCAAUCAGGAACCUGUCACAAUUUCCUUUCAUAAAGGACUUCAUAAGAGAUUUUUUUUUCUACUUCUAUCAUGUUUAAUAUUCCAAAUAGACUUAAAAAACUGGUAGAGUGCAUAUUACUUUUAGCUUCAGAUGAUAUCAUGUAUAUUUAAGAGGCAUUUAACUAUU
rnacentral:lncRNA from 1 species